GACGAACGCUGGCGGCGUGCCUAAUACAUGCAAGUAGAACGCUGAAGGAGGAGCUUGCUUCUCUGGAUGAGUUGCGAACGGGUGAGUAACGCGUAGGUAACCUGCCUGGUAGCGGGGGAUAACUAUUGGAAACGAUAGCUAAUACCGCAUAAGAUUGACUAUUGCAUGAUAGUCAGUUAAAAGGUGCAAUUGCAUCACUACCUGAUGGACCUGCGUUGUAUUAGCUAGUUGGUGGGGUAACGGCUCACCAAGGCGACGAUACAUAGCCGACCUGAGAGGGGGAUCGGCCACACUGGGACUGAGACACGGCCCAGACUCCUACGGGAGGCAGCAGUAGGGAAUCUUCGGCAAUGGACGGAAGUCUGACCGAGCAACGCCGCGUGAGUGAAGAAGGUUUUCGGAUCGUAAAGCUCUGUUGUAAGAGAAGAACGAGUGUGAGAGUGGAAAGUUCACACUGUGACGGUAUCUUACCAGAAAGGGACGGCUAACUACGUG
rnacentral:rRNA from 1 species